rfam:Mariprofundus ferrooxydans PV-1 scf_1099921033919 genomic scaffold, whole genome shotgun sequence.
GCGCCCCUGCGUUGAGCGAAUGGCAAUCAUGUUGCCUGAGCCGAUACUUGUUGAACGGGAGCCAAGCUACGAUGGCUGUGUGAAUCCCUUUAGGGGAUACCUGAUGCCAGAGUGCUGCACCCACCUCUUGUUAGAGGGUUCGACAACAGAUUGCCGCAACGUCAACGCGGGGGCGCC